rnacentral:pre_miRNA from 1 species
GGAACUGGAAAUGAGGCAGUCCAGCUGGAUUCCAGCUGGGUCUAGCUGGACUGCCUCAUUUCCAGUUCC